CCUACGGGAGGCAGCAGUGAGGAAUAUUGGUCAAUGGACGAGAGUCUGAACCAGCCAAGUAGCGUGAAGGAUGACUGCCCUAUGGGUUGUAAACUUCUUUUAUAUGGGAAUAAAAUGUUCCACGUGUGGGAUUUUGUAUGUACCAUAUGAAUAAGGAUCGGCUAACUCCGUGCCAGCAGCCGCGGUAAUACGGAGGAUCCGAGCGUUAUCCGGAUUUAUUGGGUUUAAAGGGAGCGUAGGUGGAUUGUUAAGUCAGUUGUGAAAGUUUGCGGCUCAACCGUAAAAUUGCAGUUGAAACUGGCAGUCUUGAGUACAGUAGAGGUGGGCGGAAUUCGUGGUGUAGCGGUGAAAUGCUUAGAUAUCACGAAGAACUCCGAUUGCGAAGGCAGCUCACUGGACUGUGACUGACGUUGAGGCCCGAAGGCGUGGGGAGCAAACAGGAUUAGAUACCCCUGUAGUC
rnacentral:rRNA from 1 species